rnacentral:rRNA from 1 species
AACACAUGCAAGUCGAGCGGUAACAUUUCUAGCUUGCUGAAGAUGACGAGCGGCGGACGGGUGAGUAACGCGUAGGAAUCUGCCUAGGUAUCGGGGGACAACAUGUGGAAACGCAUGCUAAUACCGCAUACGCCCUACCGGGGGAAAGAGGGGAUCUUCGGACCUUUCGCUAUUAGAUGAGCCUGCGUGAGAUUAGCUAGUUGGUGGGGUAAAGGCCUACCAAGGCGACGAUCUCUAGCUGGUCUGAGAGGAUGAUCAGCCACACUGGGACUGAGACACGGCCCAGACUCCUACGGGAGGCAGCAGUGGGGAAUAUUGGACAAUGGGCGCAAGCCUGAUCCAGCCAUGCCGCGUGUGUGAAGAAGGCCUUAGGGUUGCAAAGCACUUUCAGGAGUGAGGAAGGGCGUGCAGUUAAUACCUGUACGUUUUGACGUUAACUCCAGAAGAAGCACCGGCUAACUCUGUG